AAACCUGCUUUGCAAAACACGUUUGGCCAUCGCUGCUUGAUGCCGAAGCUGUUUUACAACGUUUUUUUUUUCUGGUCCCUCACAUCGCUGUGCUCCUCCUGAGCUGUGACGGGAGAGCGGCUGCUUCAGCACCUUCCUUGCGUUUAUCAGCAAGAUUGCAGUUGUUUAGUUGUGUGUUUUUUUUAAAAAACUUUUCUACUUUAAUUAAAAUAACUGUAAGAUUUAGAUCAUGUGAGUAUUGGAUUUUCCUAAAUACAUUUAUAUUUAAAUCUAUGCUUAACAUCUUCUAACUCUUUGAAGAGUAACCACCAGCCGAGCCUCUAAUGCACUGCUGCUGCAAGAAGGUACUUGUGCCCAGGAAUACUUUCAAUAUUCAUCAGUAAUAUGUUUAUAAGGAGAGCUCCUUGCAAAAAUGAAAAUACAAAAGGAAAUACAUUUUAAGAACAAGUCCUUUACAGUUGCGGCCCCAGACUUAGAUCAAUCCAUUUUUAAGUUGACUUUACAGGUCUGGUGGGGUCUUUUCCAGCACCCCACAGAAGGCCGUGCCAGAGGGGAGCGCGGUUGCUGGGGCCGCCAUUUCAGGAGGACAGAAGCAGUCCUGCAGAACCUGCCUUAGGCCACGCUGCUGCUGCUCUGGGGCUGCAUGCCUCACACACCAUCCCCAGCAAGCCUACUUGGCAUGCUAGGAGAUCUGAAAACCGCAGCUUCUUGCUGGAAAUUCAGAUGGCUCAACCUCCUGGGGACUAUAACUGGAAGGAAGCCCUGAACACAAGGACACCAACAGAUUUUUCAAGAAGGGAAGGAAGAGGAGGGACUAGGACUGAUCCUUUCUAUCUCUGCAGAUUGGCAGAUAAGCACUAACAGGCUGGCAUCCUUCAGUGACAAGCACAGAUUAUUGGGAUGGGUUCUAGUAACAAUACUGAUAAAGCUGCCACAAUUACUACUGAAAUGCCCACUUCCAGAAAACCUGAAUUAAGCUUCUAGAAACUACUUAGAGAGAAAAAUCAGCUGAUUUCGUCUUCAGCCACAAUUUGUGCAAGUUAGAGAAAUAAACUGUACUCUACUUCCAUACAAAAUCAUGUUUCUGCAUGUUAGAAAGUAGGUAACCUUUUCCUAAACAAUGAUGCCAUUAAAAUUACCUUUUGCUAACCUCUAAUUAGGUAAAAAAGAAAAAAGAAACCAUGCUGCACAACACACCUCACACCUUCUUAAAUACAAGCAUUUUCAGCAAUCUUGUUGGCUGAUUUCUCUGACAGAACUGAAUUCCAGAUUAUGACAGUUUCAAAAGCAAGCAUGUAAAGUCUAGUCCUUAUUUCAUCGCAGCAAAUUCCAAUAACUGUUUAACGUAUACCUCAUGAGAACAUGAAAAAUUAAAACUGUGUCUACAGCUUAGACUGCUGCUGACUGUAAAGAUGAACAACCAUGUAAAAGUACUGGCAUGUACCAAAAGUACCAAAAGCAAAAAAGCCACAGGUGUGUUGCCAAGAACAGAGCUCAGUUACUAAGUAAAGAGAUCAAUUUUGGACAUUGGUUCCAUUAUUGGCUUUUGUAUGCCUACCAGAAAACAUCAGCAGAAGCUAAACGCAGUGUAUUCAGGCAAGCACCAAAAAGUCUAUGAAGUCUCUUCAUAGAGGAGAAUCAGAUAUAAUAAUACAAUUUUAUUUUUUGUUUCAAAGGAUUA